rnacentral:rRNA from 1 species
UGGGGAAUAUUGCGCAAUGGGGGAAACCCUGACGCAGCGACGCCGCGUGCGGGAUGAAGGCCUUCGGGUUGUAAACCGCUUUUGAUUGGGAGCAAGCCUUUUGGGUGAGUGUACCUUUCGAAUAAGCGCCGGCUAACUACGUGCCAGCAGCCGCGGUAAUACGUAGGGCGCAAGCGUUAUCCGGAAUUAUUGGGCGUAAAGAGCUUGUAGGCGGUUCGUCGCGUCUGGUGUGAAAGCCCAUCGCUUAACGGUGGGUUUGCGCCGGGUACGGGCGGGCUAGAGUGCAGUAGGGGAGACUGGAAUUCCCGGUGUAACGGUGGAAUGGGUAGAUAUCGGGAAGAACACCAAUGGCGAAGGCAGGGCUCUGGGCUGGUACUGACGCUGAGAAGCGAAAGCGUGGGGAGCGAACAGG